rnacentral:rRNA from 1 species
AUGAACGCUGGCGGCGUGCCUAAUACAUGCAAGUCGAGCGAACAGACGAGGAGCUUGCUCCUCUGACGUUAGCGGCGGACGGGUGAGUAACACGUGGAUAACCUACCUAUAAGACUGGGAUAACUUCGGGAAACCGGAGCUAAUACCGGAUAAUAUAUUGAACCGCAUGGUUCAAUAGUGAAAGACGGUUUUGCUGUCACUUAUAGAUGGAUCCGCGCCGCAUUAGCUAGUUGGUAAGGUAACGGCUUACCAAGGCAACGAUGCGUAGCCGACCUGAGAGGGUGAUCGGCCACACUGGAACUGAGACACGGUCCAGACUCCUACGGGAGGCAGCAGUAGGGAAUCUUCCGCAAUGGGCGAAAGCCUGACGGAGCAACGCCGCGUGAGUGAUGAAGGUCUUCGGAUCGUAAAACUCUGUUAUUAGGGAAGAACAAAUAUGUAAGUAACUAUGCACGUCUUGACGGUACCUAAUCAGAAAGCCACGGCUAACUACGUG